UCCCAGACCUCAUUUAAGAGCUGGCAGUGAAGGCAAGGGUAUUUUGCUGGAGAUCCCUGUAUACCUGAGGCAUUCUGAAGCGCAGCUUUGAAAAGGCGUGAAGGAGAAGCAGCAGUUUUCUCACGGGGAUGUGACAGUCCUUGCCAGGGCUGUGAGCUGAGACAGUGACUUCGCUGCUGUAGGAAUAAGAGCACUCUGUUCAUAUGGCCUUCUCAAGGACUUCAGUGACUGUAGGGAUUGAACUCUCCAUUCUCUUAAUGACGAAGCAAAAAUUGUUGGGAUCAGAAGCUUUUUUUAAAAAAUUACCUAAUAUGAAGGAUUUAACAUCCUAUAACACGACCCAGAGAUACGGAGAGAUAGCAGCCCAGGCUUGACUGUGUUGACUUUCUACCAUCCUGUGGAACUAUUUCCACUCUACCUUUGCACAAGACCAAGCUUCGCCCAAUGCUAUUUUCUAAAGAUCGUUUGGAAGAGGAAAGGAAGAAUCCAGUUGCUCACUUUGUUACAGUGUUUUUCGGGCUAAGAACAAAUGCAUUUCUGCUAUAUGGGAACAAAGGUCAUGAGUGCAGGUCUUUGUGUCCCCUUUCUAAUGCAGUACAAAGGUGGCCAGAAGAGCAUGAACAGAGUGGGAAUAUCACCGUUAAUUACCUUACUGAGGAGGGAGAAACAUCCCUUGGAUGGUCCUGUUUCCCAUGCAUUGUUAAUUGUGGCUGUAAGAGAUCUUCUCCGGGCCAGUGGGUGUGCCCGGCUGUUGGGAUCCUUUUGAUCCCAUGCAAAGUGGCCUAUAUAGCAGGGAUGUCCAGAUGGAAAUGCUGUUGCUUACAUCCGUCAUGAUUAAAACUGCAGCAGUUCCACUAGAUGCUCAGCUGAAGACUUUUCUUGUCUUCUCAGAUACUCUGUCAAAUAUUGUGUCAAAUUCAAGGAUGUGGAAUAUGUUCCGUGUUGAUCUUUAAAGCUGCUGGAAUCUUCUCAGGUAAAUACAGAUUUUGUCCAUGGUGAAUGACAUCCCCUUCAAGAUCAGAGUUUGUGACUCCUGAACGCUUUCUUGCAUUUGCCCUUCAGCUCAUUUCCAGUGGUGGGAUGAGAUGAAUGGAGGACUUCGGAGUUAAGAACAAAACAAAACCUCUGUUUCUUCAGAUUAACCUCCCACAGACAGAUGGCUGACAGAAGUAGCCCACAGGGUUGCCCAGUAUAUUUUCCUGAUACAGUAAGACCCUGCGUACUUACAGAUUCCUUGGUAUGUUCUCUUGAGUCUGUGGGCAGGUGCUGACUUCAGUAUUAAAUGAAGCGUACAGAAGCAGAUAAAUACAGUUGCUGAGCUUUCACAAUUGUUAAUGCAUUUAAUUGUUUCUGUCCCAUCUGACUUGAUGUUCCUGCUUCAGUGUUUCAUUUUUUUUCUAGCUUUGACCUCUUUUCUAUAUCAAAGAGCUAGAGAACAGAUACUGUUCUUUGACUUUUUAUUCCCUGAAGUCAGUUCAUAAUGUAUUCAGCCUAAUAAUUGUGUGUUGCAUUGUGCUUGGCUUAUCUUUCUUCAAACAACUCUUGCAGAAAUUGCAGUUCAGUCUUGCUCCUGGUGUUCUGGUGCUAGUUCUCAUUUAAAAGUACUUAAAUCCAGAUUCAGCAGAAAACUGUAGCCCUUUUGGGAGUGCAGAGAAAGCUCUGGGCUGCACAGCUAGUGUCAGCUUAUGAUGUGAGUGAUGUUAUGGGUGAUGAGGGGAGAUAGGUAACGGUAAUUUAUAGGAAUACCAGUGAAGAGACCUACAAGUGACCCAAGAUGUUUCUGAUGCUGUUCAUCAUGGAUUAUGCACCUUCCAUUGCUUUUCUUACUUGCCUUUCCUUGCCAGGGCUCUUGAACUUGUUUACAAAUCAGCAUUAGUAGUGAUGUUUUGGACAGGUUAGAUGGUACAAGGGUGCACAUUUCAAAAGGAGCAAAAUGCAUUGCUCAGAUGUUGAAUGCUCAGUUGUCCUUUUGUAAGCUUGAGAGACACCUGAGCAACCUGAGAGAACACUGAAGAAAUUACAGUGGCUGAUAAUGUCUGAGUGAUGUGCUUCACUGGUGCAGUUUUGAAGAGUUGAUGGUUGAACUAGAUAAUCUCAGAGGCCUUUUCCAACAUUUAUGGUUCUAUAAACCCUUCCUAGCUGAAACACAUAAUAUUUGCUUUCUUUUUCUUUCUUCCUUUAUUCUUUUUUUCUUCUGGUAUUAUUUUAAUCAACCAGUUAACUUUAUUAAAAUAUGAGUUGUGUUCAGAGAUUAAAUGUCUGUCACCUGAAUUAACUUUAGGCAAAACCAUUUUAUUAGUGUUCUUAGACCUCCAAUCAAGAGAAAUGAUAGUAAAUCAUUAAUAUAUGUUCUACCAUUUUAAAAAUUAAAUCUGUGCCAUGAUGUGUUUUACUGUUUUAUAGCUAUUAUGUGAAGCCCCUUGGGAU